UUUCUCUCUCAUCAAAUGCAGAAGCGCUUUCUCUCCCUUCCCCUCAAACUCUCCGCCUCUCCUCAAACACGCCGCCCUCCUCGGCGUCCUUCGAGUUCUCAUCCAUGGCGACGACGCCGUUGGAGAGGCCCCUCCUUUACCCCUCUCUCUCUCUUCUCCAACACUAUGCUUUUGAAACCCUAAGAUUUCUAACAUGGCGUCGAAGAAGAAAAUUCUCAGAGGUUUUCGAUUUUGUACGGGUUUAGACGCGGCGGUGGUGUGGUUGUUGGUGGCGUUGUGCGGGUCGAGACGGAGGGAUGAGAGACAUAGAUCCAGAGACGAAGGAAUGUAGGUGGCGGUUCUCCUUGAGGUGGCACGACGGGACAUCGGCGGUGAUCGUUGAGGAGACGCGAGAAGAAGAUCCUCUUUUGUAGAUCGAGAUCGAACAGAUGGUUGGCUAUGGAAGAACAGCUGCAGAAGCCAUAUCUAGGUUGCAAACACCGACCGGAAGCUGCAAGCGUAGGAAGAACAGUUGCCUCUGUAUAGUUAAUUGUUGGUCUGCUAGAUCUGAUGUACCAUGGAUCAGUUGAAAGAAAUGGAAAUGCAGGGGGUAGAACUGUUGUGUUUGAUCGCUGAUUUCUGCUGCCUAAUGAAGCGUGGAACAUGGGCAGAAAGUGUGGCAGUCGAGAUGUAUCAUGGGCAGAAAUGCGAGAGAAUCAGUUGGGACACUUGCGAGAGAAUCUUGGAAGCGCGGCAGUCAAGAUGUAUCAUGGGCAGAAAUGCUAUGAUCAGUUGGUGUUUAUGUCUUGUAGAACUUGUGUAAUUCCAAUCAAAAUUCAUAAGUUGGUGGUGUUUAUUUUAUAUCAAAGUUGACUAGGUUUGACUUUGGUAUAUUCUGUGUAAUUACAAUCAAAAUUCAUCAUGUCGGUAUAUUCUGUGUAAUAAUUAAAUAGGUUUUGGUUCAUGGUUAAGAUGAUUUAGUUUUAGUUAUACUUUUGUUAUAUUUAGUGAUGAAAUGAAGCAGUUUAGUUACA